rnacentral:rRNA from 1 species
UACGAAGGGGGCUAGCGUUGUUCGGAAUCACUGGGCGUAAAGCGCACGUAGGCGGCUUGUUAAGUCAGAGGUGAAAGCCUGGAGCUCAACUCCAGAACUGCCUUUGAUACUGGCAAGCUCGAGGAUAGCAGAGGUUGGUGGAACUCCGAGUGUAGAGGUGAAAUUCGUAGAUAUUCGGAAGAACACCAGUGGCGAAGGCGGCCAACUGGGCUAUUACUGACGCUGAGGUGCGAAAGCGUGGGGAGCAAACAGG